AUGUGGCAUGACCCAUGGAUACCCAGGGGAACUACCCGUUUGCCGGCUACCCCGAAAGGCACAAACCUGCUAUCAAAAGUUAGUGAGCUAAUCAACCCAGCGACUGGCAUGUGGGACGAGGUACUUGUGAGAGAUGUGUUUAAUGAAGAUGAUGCGGCCUGGAUACUUGCUAUCCCAAUCAACGGGGACCUCAAGGAUCUUCCUGCAUGGCAUUUCAACAACAAGGGUAAAUUCUCGGUCAAGUAUGCGUAUUGGGUCCAUAUGAAUAACAGAAACCUAGAGGGAGCAAGGGGGGUCGCAUCCACAACUGAAGCCUCAAACAUGCUUUCCCCAUGGAAGAAAUUGUGGAAAAUUGAAGUACCAGGCAAGAUAAAACACCUUUUGUGGAGAUUGGCUCACAAUUCUACAGCCUUUUGUGUAAACUUGGCCCGAAGAGGCAUGGAUGUUUCCCUACGGUGCCCUGUCUGCCAAAUGAAUGGAGAAGAUGGGGACCACCUUCUGUUCAAAUGCACACAAGUCAAAGUGAUCUGGAGAGAAUGUGGACUGGGGAGGAGAGAGCGUUGCUCAAGGACCAGAGAACGGCUUUGGCGAUGA
rnacentral:rRNA from 1 species